GCGCUCUACCAUUGGGCUACAACCCCAGCCCUGUGAUACCAGUUUUUCGGUAACUCAGAAAUGGAAUUAGAAAUAAUCUGAUUUUUUUAAAUUUGUCCCUAUUUUCCAUAAUUAAAUGUUUUGUUUUUAUUCUUUUAAAGGUGUUAUUACAUCAAGACUUUCCAUUAGAAGUGACAAACAAUUCAUCUUGGGAAGUCAUCUACUGGCUCAGCGGCUCCUGGCACUUGCCUGGAUCCAGGUCGGCCAGGGCCAGGAGUAGCUCCCUGUGAGAAGAGGACACCACAGCUGAGUCCCUACAGCAGCAGCUGCAGUACAAAGACCAAAGUACAAAGUGCUGCAGCCUCAGAGCAGAGGUGCUCCCAGAGCCAGAGCUUCCUCUCAGAGCCCCAAGCCUGAUGCUUCAGCCCUUCCAGAGGAUCUGGGAGCCUCAGCUGGAUUCAGCCAGAUGGAUCUCUGUGAUGUGCCUGUCCAACCAGGGAAUCAGCAGUCUCUGAGGCCUGCAACCACAUGCUGGGACCACCACACCCCCUAUCCUCUGGUUGGGGCUGACCAGCACAGUUCCCAAGUGAGGGCACAAUCACAAGCAUUGAGCACCUUUGUGGGCCUGUAGAGAGAGAAGCCAGACCUGAACAGAGGGUCUGCAUCCAGGCAGGCCUACCUGAGUGCUGAGCUCUUGAGGAUUCCUGGUCCACAUCUGCCAGAGAGCUGCAGCUGAUCCCGAAGGAGCUCACCUGGGACUGGAGAACCAAGAAGACGAGUGUUGAAGACCUUCAACUGCAACACAAGCUGUUCAACUGCCCCUUCUCUCCUGCCUGCAAUGCACGAGGCUGGAAGUGCCCCAGCCAGGACUGGCCACACCUGCCCAGAUGGUGAAGCUCUCAGGGGACGCUGGAUGCAACCCUCUGUUGACAAACUGACUUUCCUUCUUACUGGUGGACACUGAAAACUAUUUUCCUUCUGCUUCGGCUGUAGAAUGUACAAGGUGGAGUGCGGCCUGUUUGUGUGCACAACUCUGCUCUGUUUUCUACUCUUAGCCUUUUCUUGCUUUGAUUUCCUCUUCUAAUGAUUCUAUUUUCUUGUACUAUUUCUAUUUUUGGAAGGUUUAAAAUAACUUUUUAACUGCUUGAAAACUGUUAACUCUCCAGAAUGAACAUAAAAGAUUGGCAUUUGCAA